CUUCUGUUUCCUCUCUUCCCUCCCUCUACUGCUGUCUGAGAUUCACAUUCACACUACUGUGUGGCUGCUGCACUCAUUCCGGCUAGCAAGAUGGAAAAUGAGGUCUUUUUGUCCUUCGUGUUCUACAGUACUCUCCUGAUCCUGAAAAUGUACAUCUUGGCUAGAAUCACGGGCCAGAUCCGGCUGCAGAAUAAAGCAUCUUCUGGAUGAUGGGAUCUCCUACAAGAAUACUGAUUACCGACUGAAGACGCCGUCUGCCUCAGAGGAUACAGUUCUUCAGAGGUUCCAUAUCAUGAGAAACCAUCAUACAGUGGCAAUAAGAAAUGAAGGAUCUCUGGAAUGUACCACAGAUCACUUGGGAUACGCAUCUCAUGGGGAUCCAUCCGCUUGAUACUCCACAGAAAGCUUGGUCUGAGCAAGGUUUCUGCACACUGGUUGCCCCAUCAUCUGACUGGAGAGCAAAAGGAGGCUAAUGGAUAGGCCCAGGUCUCAGCACCAACGACGUUUCGACCCUAACUGGUUAGACCAGUGAGCCUGUUUAGGACAAUUCCAAAGACCCUGUUUUUCACCAGUUCCCUGGAGGUGGAUUAAGGCGGAGCACCCUCAUUAAACCAGAACAUGAUCGAUUUCUUCAUCCCUUUUCUGCCACUGGAGCGUCACCAUGUGGAAAUGUGCAGCAAGGAAGAGCUACGACGGGAUGGGCAGCAGGAGGAUAGAAAUAUAAUAGACAGAGUGGCAGAUAUGCUACAGUAUGACCCAAAGGAAUACAAAUUAUUUUCUGGCAUUGGCUGCAAGCAUGUUCCAUCGAGAGUGACCCUGGUACUCAAGCCCUGCCACCUGACUACUCCACCCGGCUGCCAGUCACAGAUUACACAUGAGCAUUGUCACUAGUCAGUUGCAGUAAUGUAAAGGUUACUCUAACACAGUUUCUGGGACAUUUUGGACAAGCGCUCCCAGGAGAGUGGACAACCUCCUGCAUCCUGCCCACUUCUCAGAUAAAGUGGGCGGGAGGCGCGAUGACAGAAUUAGCGAUGAAUUGAUUCAUUGUGGCCCCAAAUCCUGUAAUGUGAUGACGGGUAUCGUGAUGUCCCCCAGACUCUGGGCCUAAUUCAGACCUCAUCGCUGCAGCAAACUUUUUCUCUAAUGGGCAAAACCAUGUGCACUGCAGGGGGGGGCAGAUAUAACAUGUGCAGAGAGAGAUAGAUUUGGGUGGGGUGUGUUCAAACUGAAAUCUAAAUUGCAGUGUAAAAAUAAAGCAGCCACUAUUUUCCCUACACAGAAACAAUAUAACCCACCCAAAUCUAACUCUCUCUGGACAUGUAAUAUCUGCCCCUCUGCAGUGCGCAUGGUUUUUCCCAUUAGAGAAGGAUUUUGCUGCUGUUAUCAGCUCUGAAUUAGGCGGGUCAUUCCGAGUUGAUCGCUCGCUUGCUACUCUUAGCAGCCGUGCAAACGCAUAGUCGCCGCCCACGGGGGAGUGUAUUUUCGCUUUGCGCGUGUGUGCGAACACUUGUACAGCCGAGCAGGACAAAAAAGUUUUUUGCAGUUGUCAGUAGCUCUGGACUUACUCAGCCCUUGCGAUCACUUCAGUCUUUUUGGUCCCAGAAUUGACGUCAGACACCCGCCCUGCAAACGCUUGGACAUGCCUACGUUUUCCCAAACACUCCCUGAAAACAGUCAGUUGACACCCAUAAAUGCCCUCUUCCUGUCAAUCCCUUUGCGAUUGGCUGUACGAAUGGAUUCUUUGUUACAGCCAUCACCCAGCAAAGAUCCGCUUUGUACCCGUACGACGCGCGUGCGCAUUGCAGAGCAUACGCAUGCGCAGUAGUAACCUGUUCGCUGCGCUGCAAAAAACAGCAGAGAGCGAUCAAAUCUGAAUGACCCCCUAGGCCCUUUAUCCUGUCUGUUACUACCCAGUCCAUGUUUUACUGCUGUUUGGUCACAAUUGUAAAGCAUUACAGAUUAUGCCAGUGCUAUAUAAUUGAAUAUGGCCAUAUAUGUUUGCUGAGCUCUACCUUGAAGAAGGUUCUCCAGAAGGACCGAAACGUUGAUGAUGUGUGAAUAAAGUUACACUUAACCUGUUUAA